GACGAACGCUGGCGGCGUGCUUAACACAUGCAAGUCGAACGGGCCUGUCUUCUUUUUUGGGGGUGGGUUGAGUGGCGAACGGGUGAGUAUCACGUGAGUAACCUGCCCUUCGGUCCUGGAUAACCGCUUGAAAGGGCGGCUAAUACGGGGUGGUCCGGUUGGUCCGCAUGGGCUGGUCGGGAUAGAUUCACUGUUUUUGGUGUUUCGGCGGGGGAUGGGCUCGCGGCCUAUCAGCUUGUUGGUGGGGUGAUGGCCUACCAAGGCGGUGACGGGUAGCCGGCCUGAGAGGGUGGGCGGCGACACUGGAAACGAGAUACGGCCAAGACUCCUGCGGGAGGCAGCGGUGGGGGGUAAUGCACAAUGGGCGGAAGCCUGAUGCAGCGACGUCGCGUGAGGGAUGGAGGCCUUCGGGUUGUGAACCUCUGUUUCCGGUGGUGAAGGCCCUGUCCGUGUGGUGGGGUUGACGGUAGCCGGGGAUGAAGCGCCGGCUAACUACGUG
rnacentral:rRNA from 1 species